rnacentral:rRNA from 1 species
AAGCAUGUACCGGUAUACUCACCAUGGAUGACGUCAGAUAGAGUACCGCGUCGUGAUCGAUGAAGACUCAGGUCAGCUAACGCUCUGCUCUAGCGGAGACAAGCAUGCGGAGUCACUGCCUCUAUCUUCGACUGAUAGCGUACGUAGAAUGUCCACGGCAUAGUCACGUGCCAGUCAGCCGCGGUAUACGUAGUCGCCAAGCGUCGUCCUGAAUUACUGGGCGUAACAGCGCGCGCAGGCGGUCCUUUAAAUUCUGAUAGUAAAAGCCCCUCGGCUCCAUCCUCGACGGGUCAUUGGGAAUCUGGGGGACCUGGAGGUGCAGAAGAAGAAAAGCCGGAAUCUCCAGCUGUAGCGCACAAAAUGGGUAAAGAUGUGGGAGGACCACCCAGUGGCGAAGGCGGUUUUCUGUUCUGUAUCUGCCGUUGAGCCGCGAAACCGUGGGGAGCAACCAGGAUUGGAUCCCUUGUUAUUCCCCGCUUUAAACGUGGAGUGCUAAUUGUUGGAGGUUUUCCGCCCUUUAUUGCGGCAGUUACCCCAUUAAGCACUCCCCCUGGGGAGUACGGCCCCAGGGCUGAAACUCAAGGAAUUUAAGGGGGCCCGGCCCAACCGUUGGACCAUUUGUUUUAUUUGGAAGCACGGGGAAGACCUUUACCGGUUCUGACCUUCUUUUGACAUUCCAGAAGUUAGGACGUUCCCUUUCGGGGAAAAAAGUACCAGGUGGGCAAUGGUUGUCUUCAGCUCGUUUGUUGAGUUGUUGGGUUAAUUCCCGCAAGGACCCCACCCCUUGUUCUUAGUUGCCACCAUUCAUUGGGGCACUUUAAGGUGACUCCGGGUGCCAAACCGGAGGAAGGGGGGGAUGACGUCAAUUCAUCAUCCCCUUUAUGCCCUGGGCUACACACGUGCUACAAUGGAUGGUCCAAAGGGCUGCGAGACCCCAAGGUUUAGCCAAUCCCAUAAAACCAUUCUCAGUUCGGAUUGCAGGCUCCAACUCGCCUGCAUGAAGCCGGAAUCGCUAGUAAUCGCGGAUCAGCAUGCCGCGGUGAAUACGUUCCCGGGCCUUGUACACACCGCCCGUCACACCUCGAGUGUUGUAACACCCGAAGUCGUGAGAGUUCCUCUAAGGAGCCACCAUGCUAUGAGUCUUCCA